UACGUAGGGUGCAAGCGUUAAUCGGAAUUACUGGGCGUAAAGCGUGCGCAGGCGGUUGUGUAAGACAGAUGUGAAAUCCCCGGGCUCAACCUGGGAACUGCAUUUGGGACUGCAAGGCUUGAGUGCGGCAGAGGAGACUGGAAUUCCUGGUGUAGCAGUGAAAUGCGUAGAUAUCUGGAGGAAUACCGGUGGCGAAGGCGGCAUCCUGGACCGGCAUUGACGCUGAUGAGCGAAAGCUAGGGGAGCAAACGGG
rnacentral:rRNA from 1 species